rnacentral:rRNA from 1 species
UGGCCAGGGUGAAGGUUAGGUAAAACUAACUGGAGGCCCGAACCCACUUAUGUUGAAAAAUGAGGGGAUGAGCUGUGGAUAGGGGUGAAAGGCCAAACAAACCCGGAGAUAGCUGGUUCUCUCCGAAAUCUAUUUAGGUAGAGCGUCAUGUAUUACUUCUGGGGGUAGAGCACUGUUAUGGCUAGCGGGUCGUCAAGACUUAGUAAACCAUUGCAAACUCCGAAUACCAGAAAGUAUGAGCAUGGCAGACACACUGCGGGUGCUAACGUCCGUAGUGGAAAGGGAAACAACCCAGACCGUCAGCUAAGGUCCCAAAAUUAUAGUUAAGUGGGAAACGAUGUGAAAAGGCCCAGACAGCCAGGAGGUUGGCUUAGAAGCAGCCAUUCCUUUAAAGAGUGCGUAAUAGCUCACUGGUCGAGUCGGUUUGCGCGGAAGAUUUAACGGGGCUAAACUAUAUACCGAAGCUGCGGAUCGCAAUUUAUUGCGAUGGUAGGAGAGCGUUCUGUAAGCCGUUGAAGGUGAACUGUGAGGUUUGCUGGAGGUAUCAGAAGUGCGAAUGCUGACAUGAGUAACGAUAAAGGGGGUGAAAAACCCCCUCGCCAGAAGUCCAAGGUUUCCUACGCAACGUUAAUCGGCGUAGGGUUAGUCGGCCCCUAAGGCGAGGCAGAAAUGCGUAGUCGAUGGGAAACGGGUUAAUAUUCCCGUACUUCAUAUAACUGCGAUGGGAAGACGGAGAAGGUUAGCUCAGCAAGGCGAUGGUUGUCCUUGUUCAAGCGUGUAGAAAUGGUUCUUAGGAAAAUCCGGGAACCUCUAUUUCAAGGCGUGAUAACGAUCCCUCUUUUGGGAGAAGUGAGUGAUACCAUGCUUCCAGGAAAAUCCUCUAAGCUUCAGGUUAUAUGAAACCGUACCCCAAACCGACACAGGUGGACGAGAUGAGAAUUCUAAGGCGCUUGAGAGAACUCGGGUGAAGGAACUAGGCAAAAUGACACCGUAACUUCGGGAGAAGGUGUGCUCUUUGUAGGUGAUAUCACUAGCUGAAUAAGCUAUAGAGAGUUGAAGAUACCAGGUGGCUCCGACUGUUUAUUAAAAACACAGCACUCUGCAAACACGUAAGUGGACGUAUAGGGUGUGACGCCUGCCCGGUGCUUGAAGGUUAAUUGAUGAGGUUAGGAUUCGUCCGAAGCUUUUGAUCGAAGCCCAAGUAAACGGCGGCCGUAACUAUAACGGUCCUAAGGUAGCGAAAUUCCUUGUCGGGUAAGUUCCGACCUGCACGAAUGGCGUAACGAGGGCCACACUGUCUCCACCCGAGACUCAGUGAAAUUGAAAUUGCUGUUAAGAUGCAGUAUACCCGCGGCCAGACGGAAAGACCCCGUGCACCUUUACUACAGCUUUGCAUUGAACUCUGAUUCUACCUGUGUAGGAUAGGUGGGAGACUUUGAAACUUUAACGCUAGUUAGAGUGGAGUCAUCCUUGAAAUACCACCCUGGUAUGGUUGGGGUUCUAACCUAGGUCCGUUAUCCGGAUCGGGAACAAUGCAUGGUGGGUAGUUUGACUGGGGCGGUCUCCUCCCAAAGAGUAACGGAGGAGCGCAAAGGUACCCUCAGCACGGUCGGACAUCGUGCAAUGAGCGCAAAGGUAAAAGGGUGCUUGACUGCGAGACUGACACGUCGAGCAGGUAGGAAACUAGGUCUUAGUGAUCCGGUGGUUCUGAGUGGAAGGACCAUCGCUCAACGGAUAAAAGGUACGCCGGGGAUAACAGGCUGAUACCGCCCAAGAGUUCACAUCGACGGCGGUGUUUGGCACCUCGAUGUCGGCUCAUCACAUCCUGGGGCUGAAGCAGGUCCCAAGGGUAUGGCUGUUCGCCAUUUAAAGUGGUACGCGAGCUGGGUUUAGAACGUCGUGAGACAGUUCGGUCCCUAUCUACCGUGGGCGUUGGAGACUUGAGGGAAGCUGUUCUUAGUACGAGAGGACCGGAAUGGACACACCUCUGGUGUUUCGGUUGUGACGCCAGUCGCAUUGCCGAGUAGCUAUGUGUGGAAAGGAUAACCGCUGAAAGCAUCUAAGCGGGAAGCCCCUCCCAAGAUUAGGUCUCCCUGAUAUUUUAAAUAUCCUAAAGAUCCCUCGAAGACUACGAGGUUGAUAGGCAUGGUGUGGAAGAGUAGUGAUACUUGAAGCUAACAUGUACUAAUUGAUCGUGAGGCUUGACCAU